GAGUGCCAUGGGGAGUGUCAGGGAGAAGACAAUUCCUACGAUGCCACCUCAUGUAGCUGAAACCUCGCCUUCCUCUCCUAAGUGUUCUGUGCCUGAGUGCUGGGGUCAGGAUUAUGCACGGUCCCAACAGGGCUUGACCAGGCAGGACGAGCAGGGUCGAAGGAGUCCCAGUGCUUUAAAAUACACUCCAGGGGAGUACAUGUUACUACCUUGUGGAGAGGGUGCCUGCUUCUGCUUCACCUUCAGCCGUGAUUGUAAAUUUCCUGAGGCCUCCCCAGCCAUGCAGAACUCACCAUGUACCUAUCACCUGGUAUAAGAAAGAAAUCCUUAGCAAUAAAGACAGAACCAUGUGUGUCCUCCUCCCCUCACCCUCAGAGGGAGCCGUUAUGGACCCCGCAGACGCCAGGAGCCCCAGUGCAGAGCUUCUUCUUCGGGGAGGCCACGUCCCCUCCCCAUACCCUUGAAGGCGAUGCCCGCGUUGUUGACCAGCACGUCCAGGCCCCCGUACUCCUUGCGCAGGAAGUCGCGCAGGGCGCGGAUGCUCUGCAGAUCGUCGAUGUCCAGCUGGUGGAAGCGCGGGCUCAGGCCCUCCGCCUGCAGCUGCUGCACGGCUGCCUGGCCCCGCGUCACGUCCCGCGCCGUGAGCACCACGUCCCCCGAGAACAGCCGGCACAGGUCGCGCACGAUGGCCAAGCCGAUACCCUUGUUGCCUCCAGUCACCAGCGCUACAUGCAUGCCGGACGACAUGGCUGAACGGGGCGCGCGGGACACCUGCGUGGAGAACAGACCUGGCUCAGGCCCCGGAACCGCGCGGCGUGUUCCAGAGACUGCUCGAGUCUGGCGGGCGUGGGCGCGCACCCGUAGGUUACACGCCCGGACGCUGAGCGCGCAGGCGCAGGCCCCGCUCCUAGCGGGGCGGGGCCGAACCACCCCUACCCCUCCCCACCGGAACUUCGCCGGGGUGCGGAGCAGGCGGAGAGCCAGCUAGCCUGACUUUGCAGAACCCGCUGGCCGAAGACCGAGGCUGGUCUCUAGCUACUGGCUGUUGGCUGCCCACGUGGCAGUGAAGAACCAUUCCUAGUGGCCAUGUGCCUAGAUCUGAACUCACUGCUUGUCCUUGGUUCUCCGAGGGGUUUUCUUCCUAUUCUCCCAACUGUUCAAUCAUUCCUAGUUGUGUUUGAAGAAAUAGUACAUUUGCAUGUUUUUUUUUUUUCUUUUUUUCCU
rnacentral:sRNA from 1 species